rnacentral:rRNA from 1 species
GAGUUUGAUCAUGGCUCAGGAUAAACGCUGGCGGCAUGCCUAACACAUGCAAGUCGAACGGGGUUUAUAUAGCGGAACUCUCCGGAGGGAAGCCGUAUAAACCUAGUGGCGGACGGGUGAGUAACGCGUGGGGAACCUGCCCUGUACCGGGGGACAACAGCCAGAAAUGGCUGCUAAUACCGCAUAAUCCUGCACUACCGCAUGGUGGUGCAGGGAAAACUCCGGUGGUACAGGAUGGCCCCGCGUCUGAUUAGCUUGUUGGCGGGGUAACGGCCCACCAAGGCAACGAUCAGUAGCCGGCUUGAGAGAGUGAACGGCCACAUUGGGACUGAGACACGGCCCAGACUCCUGCGGGAGGCAGCAGUGGGGAAUAUUGCACAAUGGGGGGAACCCUGAUGCAGCAAUGCCGCGUGGGUGAAGAAGUAUUUCGGUAUGUAAAGCCCUAUCAGCAGGGAAGAAAAUGACGGUACCUGACUAAGAAGCCCCGGCUAACUACGUGCCAGCAGCCGCGGUAAUACGUAGGGGGCGAGCGUUAUCCGGAUUUACUGGGUGUAAAGGGAGCGCAGGCGGCGUGGCAAGUCAGAUGUGAAAACCCGGGGCUCAACCCCGGGACUGCAUUUGAAACUGCCAUGCUGGAGUGCCGGAGAGGUAAGUGGAAUUCCUAGUGUAGCGGUGAAAUGCGUAGAUAUUAGGAGGAACACCAGUGGCGAAGGCGGCUUACUGGACGGUAACUGACGCCGAGGCUCGAAAGCGUGGGGAGCAAACAGGAUUAGAUACCCUGGUAGUCCGCGCCGUAAACGAUGAAUACUAGGUGUCGGGGAACAAUAGUUCUUCGGUGCCGCAGCAAACGCAUUAAGUAUUCCACCUGGGGAGUACGUUCGCAAGAAUGAAACUCAAAGGAAUUGACGG